rnacentral:rRNA from 1 species
GAUGAACGCUGGCGGCGUGCUUAACACAUGCAAGUCGAGCGAGUGAGUUCUUCGGAACGAUCUAGCGGCGGACGGGUGAGUAACACGUGGGCAACCUGCCUCAUAGAGGGGAAUAGCCUCCCGAAAGGGAGAUUAAUACCGCAUAAAAUUAUCGAGUGGCAUCACAUGAUAAUCAAAGGAGUAAUCCGCUAUGAGAUGGGCCCGCGGCGCAUUAGCUAGUUGGUGAGGUAACGGCUCACCAAGGCGACGAUGCGUAGCCGACCUGAGAGGGUGAUCGGCCACAUUGGGACUGAGACACGGCCCAGACUCCUACGGGAGGCAGCAGUGGGGAAUAUUGCACAAUGGGGGAAACCCUGAUGCAGCAACGCCGCGUGAGUGAUGAAGGUCUUCGGAUUGUAAAGCUCUGUCUUUGGGGACGAUAAUGACGGUACCCAAGGAGGGAGCCACGGCUAACUACGUGCCAGCCGCCGCCGUAA